UACGUAGGGUCCAAGCGUUAAUCGGAAUUACUGGGCGUAAAGCGUGCGCAGGCGGUUGUGUAAGCCAGAUGUGAAAUCCCCGGGCUUAACCUGGGAAUGGCAUUUGGGACUGCACGGCUAGAGUACGGCAGAGGAGACUAGAAUUCCUGGUGUAGCAGUGAAAUGCGUAGAUAUCAGGAGGAAUACCGAUGGCGAAGGCAGGUCUCUGGGUCGAUACUGACGCUCAUGCACGGAAGCGUGGGGAGCAAACAGG
rnacentral:rRNA from 1 species